AUUAUAGUAACAUUUCGACCAUCGUUAUGUUGUGCAAAUAUUAGCGAGCCACAAGCAAGUACAAAAGUUCAUUGUUGUUGAACUUACUCAAAUGAAUACUUCUUUCAAUUUUCUUACUCCGAAAAACCUAUUCAUAUUCGUGUUAUAUUGUUGUUUUGUGUCCAUCCAAGUAAAGCCGGAAGUUUCUAUUCCCGUUGGGCCCACUAGUGUGAAUAAAUCUCGUAUUUCGACAGUUCUUGGAGGUCACCGUAGUCCAGCUCGACUAUUUUAUGUGCAAGUGACUCAACUGACGCCGAGUGCCGACAGAAAAUUGAUGUGUGGAGGUACCAUCAUCCACGAGGAGUGGGUGCUCACAGCGGCACAUUGUGUCAGCCACAUACACCCUAAUGAUAUUGCUGUGAGGACAGGAGAUUUCACUGAAGAGGACAGUGAGAAAACUGAAGUACUGGUGGAGCAGAUCUUUUGGUACGCCGACUACACAGUAAACAAACACCGACUAUUUAAUGACAUUGCUCUGAUUAAAGUGUACAACCACACCUUUCCCGGAGACCACGUUUUGCCCAUUUGCCUUGAAAUAGUUUCCGAGUGCCCCAUUUUCGGCUUCUGUGGAACGGGAUAUGCUCGGCUGAACGAGCGGACCUUUUCGCCUCAGAUGAAGGAAAUUCUCCUGUAUCAAAGAAGAGCCGGAUGUUGUUGGGACUACUUGGUAAAAUGUCGCGCCGACCUUGUCUGCACUCGGCGACUGGGGGCGUUCCGAGAUGAUAACAUUUACUUCGGCGACAGCGGGGGACCUCUUUUUAUGUUCGGAGAGUUUCCAGAGAACAAACCUCAAUGUGUUUACGGUGUCGCGAGUUUUUUCCGUCGCUGUGAGCGGAGAUUCGGAAAUAUUCCGCUGAUUAAUUGCUUCCUAGGUGGAAGUUACUUUGCAAGUGUUCCUUACUUUUCCGAGUGGAUAGAAAGAACAGUAUAUUCGUAUUAUGUAGAAAAUGGUUUACUUCCAGAAGAGCAGAGUGACUUACAAUCAGAGCAAAAUGACUUUGACACUUUAGUUGAAUAUUGAACAAAAGAUGCCUUCGUUUCAAUAAACCAAAUGGUUUCAACCUUGGUUGAUAUUCUGUUUUAUUCUGGCAAAAAUCAACCAAGAUUCAGUUUCGAAUGAGA